UUGAUCAUGGCUCAGGACGAACGCUGGCGGCGUGCCUAAUACAUGCAAGUCGAGCGGACCUGAUGGAGUGCUUGCACUCCUGACGGUCAGCGGCGGACGGGUGAGUAACACGUAGGUAACCUGCCCGUAAGGCCGGGAUAACAUCCGGAAACGGAUGCUAAUACCGGAUACGCAAUUCCUUCGCAUGGGGGGAUUGGGAAAGGCGGUUCCGAUUGAAUUCGGGCUGCCGCUUACGGAUGGACCUGCGGCGCAUUAGCUGGUUGGUGAGGUAACGGCUCACCAAGGCGACGAUGCGUAGCCGACCUGAGAGGGUGAUCGGCCACACUGGGACUGAGACACGGCCCAGACUCCUACGGGAGGCAGCAGUAGGGAAUCUUCCGCAAUGGACGAAAGUCUGACGGAGCAACGCCGCGUGAGUGAGGAAGGCCUUCGGGUCGUAAAGCUCUGUUGCCAGGGAAGAAUGUGCGAGGGAGUCACUGCCCUUGUAGUGACGGUACCUGAGAAGAAAGCCCCGGCUAACUACGUGCCAGCAGCCGCGGUAAUACGUAGGGGGCAAGCGUUGUCCGGAAUUAUUGGGCGUAAAGCGCGCGCAGGCGGCUUUGUAAGUCUUGUGUUUAAACGCGGGGCUCAACCCCGUGUCGCAUGGGAAACUGCAAGGCUUGAGUGCAGAAGAGGAAAGUGGAAUUCCACGUGUAGCGGUGUAAUGCGUAGAGAUGUGGAGGAACACCAGUGGCGAAGGCGACUUUCUGGGCUGUAACUGACGCUG
rnacentral:rRNA from 1 species